rnacentral:rRNA from 1 species
UCCUACGGGAGGCAGCAGUGGGGAAUAUUGGACGAUGGGGGCAACCCUGAUCCAGCCAUGCCGCGUGUGUGAAGAAGGCCUUAGGGUUGUAAAGCACUUUCAGUGGGGAGGAAGGCUUCUGGCUAAUAACCUGGAGUACUUGACGUUACCCACAGAAGAAGCACCGGCUAAUUUCGUGCCAGCAGCCGCGGUAAU